ensembl:lncRNA
GUGAGUAUUAAAGCUGAAAAUCCUUUUUAUGUUUUUAUGAUUCACAAAAGAUGCAGUGGCCAUGUUUUUCCCUAUUUUCGCUCACUUUAGGGUUUGUUCACAGUAGGGGUGGAGCCAACUCGAAUACGGUAUUCGGAAAGACACAAAUAACGUGUUUUUCACGAAUACUUUAAAAAAUAUUUGUAUACGGGAACAAGAAAAACUUUAUAUCAAAAAGCUUCCUUAUGAGACCGCACUGCAUGCCCGGAUGAGUGAGUGACGUGUAAAAGGUGACUGACACCGGCUGCUCCACACAGCAACAGAGAAGCCUCGGCUAAGCCUUGAAAGACUGAACUGCAUCACUAUUUUUGAUCAAUAGAUUUUUUUUUAACCUUAACUGGGUUCCGGAGGCAGUUUAUAACUUUCACGAAGAUCGGGAGAUUGAUCAAUUACGCUGCACUAUUGACGCCUGCAGUCGGGUGCUCUCAUGUUCGCUCUGUUUACGUAGCUCUGUUAGCUGACAUGGCUGGUAAGGACAUGAGGAGGAAACAGGAGGAGCUGUGUGAGGCUACUAAAGGCAGUGGAACCCUCACCAGCUGGAUUACAAACAGCACAGAUGGACAGCAAGUGGAGAGUGAUAGAUGAGAUGAGGAGAUGAAGGAGGAAGACGACAAGGCCACCUCACAACAGUGAUGUAGUAUGAUGCGAUCCCAUAUUAGAUUCUUGAUGAAUGUGUGUUGUUGUUAUUCAGCCUGGUUCAAUGUGCCCCUUUUUAACUUUGAGCACCCGCCCCUUUAAACGUCUCUGCACGGCCCUGUUCUGUCUUUUACAGACAGCAAGAUAUAGGGGGUGUCCAAAUUCUUGGGCUGCAUCCUCCUGAGGACGCAUUUGUAGGCCGAUUACGUCACAGCGACGUGACGAAGGCUGUCCAAAUUCGUCGACUCCUCUGAAUGCAGCCGACAAAUGCGUCCUCCUUUUCCCCGAAUUUGAAGGAUGGGUCGGGUGUGUCCUGCAUGGCCCACCAUAUCCCAGAAUUCAUAGCGCGACCCAGCCAAUUCCAGUUUUCAACAAUGGCGGCCACUAGUAAGUUUUUAAUAUUAGUGUUAUUACUCUUUCUGGGUCACAAAAUAAACUUUUAACAUAUUUUCAGGCGAGAAUGUAGCUGUGUAAACUUCAAAUAUCUGCUUGCUUUAUCAAGAUAUCACAUAUUUGCAUAAGUGCUCCGACGUUUUCGGAGACGUCUGUUAUCCACCAGCUCGAUAGCUAGCUGGGAGCUCGAGGGUCACUAGAGCCGCCGAGAACGGCAAACUCCCGGCACAUCAUUUUCAGAUCACCGCAGUCUUUCGCUACUCAGGUUAAACGUAAUAUAUAAGUCACUUAGAUAACCUAAAAAUGUUAUUGUUUGGCUUUUUUCAGUAUUUUAUUAGUUCGUGAGUAAAUCGGUUUGGCUGAGAUUAAAGUUAUUAGAUAAAAUAAAACUUUAUUAAUCCCCCGGGUGGUUUUCACACAGCUGAAUAAACGUCAAACAGAAAACUGAUUAAACAGAAGUGUGAGAAUUUACACCAGUGUCCUGUUAUAUUUUAGAUAGCAAGGAGCAGACAGCUGAGUUUAUUAAACUCCACUGAGACAGCGGUGACGCAAAUCUGAAGGCUAGACCGUCCAAUUUCACAGCCGUUUACUUCUGGCCUACCCGACCUUCUGAGGACCCGGCCCACGUAGACCGCGAAGGCCGGGUCCUCAGGGGGAUGCAGCCCAUGAAUUUGGACACGACUAUAGGCUAUAGGCUAUAGCCCGUUGUCCAGUCACUCAUUAACUUAGCUGAAACUCCCCACAUGGAUUUGGGCAACCAAAUAGAAUAGAGUGUUGCUGGUGCUGAGCCAUCUCUUGGUCCUCCACCAGCCCAAAAAACUUGAUCAAGUUCUGUGUGGAAGCAUUUUACAUUCAGUGCAGCAGAUGAAACCAAACUGAUAUGUAAUGUGUGCAAAAGGUCAAAUCAGCAGAGGCAGAGAUAUCAAACAUCUGUCAACAUCUGUUAUGCAUAAGCAUCUUAUUCCGGGUAAUGUCUGCCAACCCCCCCUUACAAGCACCCCCCCACCAGCACCAAUUCAUCAUCACAGCCAUGUUCUGCCCCUGCAAGUCAGUUUCACUGUUCAGCGUCCUCUAACAAGGACGGGUGGCGGUGGGGUUCAUAAGGUUCACAAUGGUAUUUGUGUACAUGUGGUAGUUGUUGGUUUUAACCAUGGAUGAAGCAAUGGCUGUUAUGUUAUUUUCUUUUCAAUGACGUUCCUUGUUACAUGUUCAUUGCUGGAUUUAUGGAAAAACCAUCAACUAAUAUUGCUAAUCCAUAAUUAUUAAAAUGGAUAUAAGUAAAGAAUACUUACAAUAUAACAUUAAUUAGAAGUGUAAUGGAUGGCAAAAAAAUGGAUUUAUACGCCUAUUUUGAAUUUUAGUCAAAUACAAAUACAAAUACAUUUCCCCCUCAACAAAUACAAAUACAGAUACAAAUACCGGCUGCUUUGCACAUCUCUAAUUCACAGUUAAUGUUCUCUCUUGUGAUUCUUUUCUGAAACUGCACAAGUCAAGAAAAAAAAAGUAGAGAAGAGGCUGUGAUAAAAAACAAAUUAUGAUACCAGUUACAUUGCGCUGUUUUCAGAUUAAAAGACCCCAAAAUGCUAAAAAACAGACAAAAAAGCUGUUUUGUUUUCUUUCUUUACCAUGGAGAUGUGUAGAGUGUGAUGUCCGACCAGUCUGCCGUUUGCUGUAAAGAAGGGAGUUCCAAAGCUCCUCAUAGAUGCUGUGAGGAGCAAACAACCGACGUGGUUAAAGGCUGGUCGCGGAGUCCCGAUUAUUAUUUAUCUGUUUACUUGUUGUUGUUUUUUUAUUAUAGAUAUUUUUUUAUUGUUUAUAUGUUAUAAGUGUAAUCCAAAAUGUCAUGCCAUAAACUAUCUCUAGCCGUUUUAUUGCUGGUGACAGUCAACUGAUAAACAUAAUCAGUCAAAGUCCAUCAUGAGACCAAUCCCUUCACUGGAAAUGACAAUUAAUCUUUCAAUGACAUGUAGCUUGCAGAUGUAAGCUUUCCAUCAAAUAACAGUAUAAAAACCAAAUCGGGCUGUUCGAAGCAGUGAGUAUUAAAG